CCUACUGGCGGCAGCAGUGAGGAAUAUUUGUCAAUGGGCGCGAGCCUGAACCAGCCAAGUCGCGUGACGGAUGAAUGCCCUACGUAUUGUAAACUUCUUUUAUAAAGGAAUAAAGUGAGUCACGUGUGCCUUUUUGUAUGUACUUUAUGAAUAAGGAUCUGCUAACUCCGUGCCAGCAGCCGCGGUAAUACGGCGGAUGCGAGCGUUAUCCGGAUUUAUUGGGUUUAAAGGGUGCGUAGGUGGUUUGUUAAGGCAGCUGUGAAAGUUUGCGGAUCAACCGUAAAAUUGCAAUUGAUACUGGCAGACUUGAGUACAGUAGAGGUAAGCGGAAUUCGUGGUGUAGCGGUGAAAUGCUUAGAUAUCACGAAGAACUCCGAUGGCGAAGGCAGCCUACUAAACUGCCACUGACACUGAGGCGCGAAAGUGUGGGUAUCAAACAGGAUUAGAUACCCUUGUAGUC
rnacentral:rRNA from 1 species